rnacentral:rRNA from 1 species
UACGUAGGGUGCAAGCGUUGUCCGGAAUUAUUGGGCGUAAAGAGCUCGUAGGCGGUUUGUCGCGUCUGCUGUGAAAACUCGGGGCUUAACUCCGGGCCUGCAGUGGGUACGGGCAGACUAGAGUGCGGUAGGGGAGACUGGAAUUCCUGGUGUAGCGGUGAAAUGCGCAGAUAUCAGGAGGAACACCGGUGGCGAAGGCGGGUCUCUGGGCAGUUCCUGACACCGAGACACGAAGGCCAGGGGAGCAAACGGG